AAGGGCUGAACUGGCAAUUUGGGUAAACGAAACAGAAUUGUAACUUACUAAAAUAAAGUUUUAAGUACGUAUUAAUAAUGAUAAUAUGUAUAAAAGUCUUGACCAAUUACGUGCCAGCAGUCGCGGUAAUACGUAGGAGACGAGCAUUAUUCAUAUUAAAUAGGUUUAAAGGGUACCCAAACGGUCAAAAUACCUGAAAUAUAGGAGUACUUGACUAGAGUUAUAUGUAAGAAGACCGUACUUGAGGUGGAGAGAUUAUAUUCUGUGAUACCAAAAGGACUGAUAAAGGCGAAGGCUGUCUUUUAUGUAAUAACUGACGUUGGAGGACGAAGGCAUAGAGAACUAACAGGAUUCGUUACCCUAGUAGUCUUUGCAGACAAUGAUGAAUGCCAUUAACUAGAUACUAAUUUUAGUUAUAUAAAUGAAAAUGAAAGCAUUUCACCUCAAGAGUAAUGUGGCAACGCAGGAACUGAAAUCACUAGACCGUUUCUGACACCAGUAGUGAAGUAUGUUAUUUAAUUCGAUGAUCC
rnacentral:rRNA from 1 species